rnacentral:lncRNA from 1 species
UUCUCACACUGAUGGAGUAAGUAAUAGAAUGGGUUGCCAACUGUAGUUGCUCCUCUCAGCGCAGAAUGCCUGCAGACAGUAUAUCCAGGCAUCACUAAAGAAGUCUGCCCAGGGUGAAACUAAUACCUUUGAGGU